GACGAACGCUGGCGGCGUGCUUAACACAUGCAAGUCGAACGGUAAGGCCCUUCGGGGUACACGAGUGGCGAACGGGUGAGUAACACGUGGGUGAUCUGCCCUGCACUUCGGGAUAAGCCUGGGAAACUGGGUCUAAUACCGGAUAGGACUCCGGACUGCAUGGUCUGGGGUGGAAAGCUUUUGCGGUGUGGGAUGGGCCCGCGGCCUAUCAGCUUGUUGGUGGGGUGAUGGCCUACCAAGGCGACGACGGGUAGCCGGCCUGAGAGGGUGACCGGCCACACUGGGACUGAGAUACGGCCCAGACUCCUACGGGAGGCAGCAGUGGGGAAGAGUGCACAAUGGGCGCAAGCCUGAUGCAGCGACGCCGCGUGAGGGAUGACGGCCUUCGGGUUGUAAACCUCUUUCAGCAUCGACGAAGCGAAAGUGACGGUAGGUGCAGAAGAAGGACCGGCCAACUACGUGCCAGCCGCCGCAGUAA
rnacentral:rRNA from 1 species